AACGAACGCUGGCGGCAUGCCUAACACAUGCAAGUCGAACGGAUGGUCGCAAGACCAUUAGUGGCGGACGGGUGCGUAACGCGUGGGAACCUGCCUUGAAGUUCGGAAUAACUGCGGGAAACUGCAGCUAAUACCGGAUGUGGCCUGCGGGCCAAAGGGGAAACUCGCUUCAAGAGGGGCCCGCGUCCGAUUAGCUAGUUGGCGGGGUAACGCCACCAAGGCGAUGAUCGGUAGCUGGCUGAGAGGACGACCAGCCACACUGGAACUGAGAUACGGUCCAGACUCCUACGGGAGGCAGCAGUGGGGAAUAUUGGACAAUGGGGGCAACCCUGAUCCAGCAAUGCCGCGUGAGUGAUGAAGGCC
rnacentral:rRNA from 1 species